AGUCGUAAUAAGGUCUCCGUAGGUGAACCUGCGGAGGGAUCAUUACCGAGUUAGGGUCUCACCGGCCCGAUCUCCCAACCCUUUGUCUACUUGACCAUCGUUGCUUCGGCGAGCCCGUCCUCACGGACCGCCGGGGGGUCUUUGUACCCCUUGGCCCGCGCUCGUCGAUAGCCCCCAAAUUUAAAAAAUCUUAACUAAACGUGUCUUGAAUCUAAGUAUUAUUGUUAAAUAAAAACAAAACUUUCAACAACGGAUCUCUUGGUUCUGGCAUCGAUGAAGAACGCAGCGAAAUGCGAUAAGUAAUGCGAAUUGCAGAAUUCCAGUGAGUCAUCGAAUCUUUGAACGCACAUUGCGCCCUUUGGUAUUCCGAAGGGCAUGCCUGUUCGAGCGUCAUUAUCACCCCUCAAGCCCUCGGCUUGGUGUUGGACGGUUUGGUGGAGACCCCCCUCGGGUGGGCUUCUACCCCUCCCAAAGACAAUGACGGCGGCCUCGUUGGACCCCCGGUACACUGAGUUCUUCACGGGACACGUAUCGGACACAUGGGUUUACGGGACACGGUCUGCCUCCCCUCAGGGAGAAUCUUUUUUUAUUAAGGUUGACCUCGGAUCAGGUAGGGAUACCCGCUGAACUUAA
rnacentral:rRNA from 1 species